UACCCCAUAAAUUUGCAAUUAAAACUGCUAAGUGAACGUAACUAGCUACAUCUGACGCAACAUAAUGAAAAAUAUGGUGAGUACUGAGUAGGAUUUUACACCUUUGCGCACAUCGCCGGACGAAUUGUUGGCCUCGCCAGCCUCUAAAUAGAUCCUGCAUUAAAUAUAUAAUCAAGUUAGAACGUGAAGGUAAUCAUAUUGAAUUAAAUAUUGUUGUGAAUAGUGGAAUACUAUUCCAAAUAGUGUACUCAAUAGUGGAGCACUAUUGUGAAUAGUGCCCUACCUAGUGAAUAGUAAAUACUAUUCAAGAUAAAAAGAAUACCUGUCUACCACUUCUACCUAAUCCCAAAUUAACUUAAUAUAAAUCUAAUCACAUAUUAAGCUAUAUAAAAAUUAAUAUUUUCCUAUAUAUUGACCUAUACCCGACCCGAAUAUUGAUAGAAAUUCCCAUAAUAGAUCCUUUAAAUAUUGAUAAGGUAUUAUCAAUUAUAGGGGCAGGGAGGACCCCCCUGUAAAAAAAAAUAUCUAUAUAUAUAAAUUAAAUUAAGCAAUGUCUAACAUUUAAGCAAGUUAAAUUAAAUUUAAAUUAAAUGAAUAAGCAGUGGUGAAUAUUUAAGCAGCCUUGGCAUGUAUGUACGCAUACACUGACACAAGGAUUCCUAAAGAAGAGCUACCUAUCUGAAGGCAUGAAGAAGUGCAUCGCUGGCAAGCGAAGAAGAAAAGAAGAGCCAGCCAAUUAUUCACCGAGAGACAAUGCCACGUGAAGAAAGCAAAGAUUCCUGAAGAUUGAUGCUUGUCGGCACUCUCUCACACUUUUCUAUAUUAUUAGAAGGACACGCGUGUACCCUAGUAAGACACGUAUGCAUGCUACCGUGUGUAAAAUAAGUGAAGGAAGGCUCCCGAAGGCCACCUUGCAGCCACCCCUCACGGCUAUAAAAGGAGACGCUGGGCUCAACAACAAGGACACACAAGAGACGGGAGAGCACGGAGCACUCAAAGCAUCGAGACUCUCCACCAGAGUACCACUUCCUUUGUAGUCUAGCCACCACCAUCACUAGUAGAAUAGCCAAGAAGGCGAUUAGUUCGCCAAGAGUUUGAAGGUAAUUUCCUAGUUGUGUGUAAUCCCUUCGGGGCCUCCCAAAAGGGAAAACCAUAUGUAAAUUAUGUUGUUGAAAUGAUGUAGUUUCUUGGUUUCA